AAGGAUUGAUUUAUUUUUCGAAUCCAGUUUUGGAGGUCCUUGGGAUGUCGCGGGCGGUGCUGUUAUUGUCACAGAAGCUGGGGAGCUCGUGUUUGAUCCCUCUGGCAAGGAGUUUGACGUAACAUCUCAAAGGGUAGCAGCUUCCAACCCUCU